ensembl:lincRNA
CCGGCCCCCGCCGCCCCCCCCGCCGGCCUGCGUCCCCGCCGCCCCCCCCCCCCCCGCGCCCCCCGCCUCUGCCUGCGCUCCGACAUCCUGUCUGGAUCUCCGUGGUGCCUCCGGUCAUUUGCUUCCUCCCUGUCCAUACUUGAUCGGAGGGAAAGUUUUCAAACAUGCCCAUUGCACAGUUGCUGGAGCUAUGGAAAAAGAUAGAGGUGGAGCCCAUGGAAAUAGAGACCCCCGAAGAGGAUCUAAACCUAGACUCAGAGCCCGCUGCAGAAGACACUGUGGGAGAAGCAACUGUGAUGAAGUGAAGGCCAGUGGGAUUUGUAAUCACCUCCAGUGAAGAAAUGUCCACCACACAGAUACAUACAAGCUCAAUUAGGCUGUUUAGCUCCUUCAUACCCUCCCCAACUCCUUCUUUUAAAGACCUCAUCCAGACAGGGGACCAGGAUGUGGGGAAGGACGGAGUCACAGAACCUGCCUCUCACCCCGGCCUGUGAUCUGGGCGCCUGAGGGCAGAUGCUGGCACGGAUGUGUCGGAAUCACAGAAGACCCUCUGCCUGGACUGCUGCACUGCGGGCCUGAUGGCCCCGGAGUUCACUGUCAUCUGGGACUCAGAGAAGUAACUGACUUAUUUUUCUAGACCUCCCGAGGACUGGCCUAAUUGAAACAGUGUUUUCCCGGAUGUAAAUAAGUUCAUCACACCAGGGACUGACUGCCAGACUGCAAGAAGCGAAACAAGGAGCCGCUCCCACCACCCCUGAAGCAGCUGCUUCCCUGCCCCCCGAAACAGACACAGGGGUCUCCUCAGCAGACCUGAAGGCCAGGGCCCCCAGACAGCUAAUGCCUUUUUGCAUCAAAGCUUUUUUAAUUACAAAGGGGAACUCCUCUAGCAUUUAAACAUGUUGACAUUUCAAAAUAAAGCUACUGUAACACUCUGAAAUGUUUCCCCUGGAAUCUAAAUACUGUAGCAAUUGGAUAACCCACCAGCAUUUUGCUGAAAAAAAUACACGAAAAUGCUUUUAGCUGAACAGGCAUAAAUUUUUGUGACUCUUUAAUCCUUGAAUUCGGCUUUCCCUUCCACUUGUCCAUUAGGAUGUUAUCCUAAUGUGAUAAACAUGGGUAUUUGAUAAAAAGUCGUCCAUUCAUCACCUUAUUGGAGAAGGGAAUGGCAAUCUACUCCAGUAUUCUUGCCCGGAGAAUCCCAUGGACAGAGGAGCCUAUAGGGCUACGGUCCAUGGGGUCGCGGAGAAUCCCAUGGACAGAGGAGCCUGUAGGAGUCCAUGGGGUCGAAAAGAGUCGGACGUGAGUGAGCACAUCACCUUAUAUAUUCUUGCAGAAAAAAAAAAUCUGUUCAUAAAUUGAAAAUGAUCUUUAAACUGAAUUUUCUGUAAUCACAAGACUAUUACGUUUCCUUUGAAUUAUUACAAUUUUUGGUAUACAGUUGAUUAAAAUAAUUGUUAAAUAUAAAAAGGUGAUGGGAAAGUCAGCGUGUGAGUGACAGGGACAGUGCCCCAGGCUCAUAUGUGGGGUUAGUGCCCUUAAAGGAGACCCCAGAGCACGGCCUCGCCCUCUUCCUGCCACGCGAGGGCACAGCAAGAGGACUGCUAGCUGCAAGCCUCCUGAGAGCUUCUGUUUCCGGCGCUGCAGGCGGCUCGUCUCCUCCGGGGGCCCGCCCUAAGCGAGACCUUCCAGUCUGAACACUGGAGGCUUCAGCCCAAGACAGGGAGUUUUAAUCAACUAUUCCUUUGAUUCUUGCUUUUGAAAGGCUUUUUACCCUACACUGCAAUGGCCCCCCACUCCAGUACUCUUGCCUGGAAAAUCCCAUGGACGGAGGAGCCUGGUCGGCUGCCGUCCAUGGGGGCGCUAAGUCGGACACGACGGAAGCGACUUAGCAGCAGCAGCAGUCCUUAUGUAAC